GUAUUGUUGGUACAGAAGCCAACAUAGGAGAAAAGGCUUUUAGCCCUCCCUCUCCUCCUGGGAGACACAGUUGAAGGAAGAGCAGCCUGUGAUUCAGAGGGAAGGACACUGAGUCAGAUCCUGCAGGACCAACAGCAUUAAGUGCUACAAAGAGAGCCCCUGCUGAGGGGGCCCCUCCUCUCCUCCCCACGAUCCUGCCAGGAAGGGACUGCCUUUUGUCACAAUUUGGCUGACUGGUCAAUUGAGGGUGAAUCCUCAAACCAGCAGGCUUUAAGGAGCACCUUAGGGUUCAGAGCAGACCUUUUUCUUUUUCUGCCAGUGUGUAGCAGAUCUCCUUCUGCAGCCUUGGCUGUGAUCUCCGCUCCUCUCUCUCUCUGCCUUGGCUAUCUGCCUGCUCUCCUGCUGUCCUCAUCUGUAGGAGCUGCACAGCUCAGCAAGAAACUGUUCUUAGUGUGCCCAUCACAGCACUGGAAGAAAAAGAAUACUGAGAUAGUUGCCUGAAAAGCAGAAGCAGCUCCUGUCACAGUGCCAAAUGCACUCGUUUAAGGAAUUCUGAUUUUACAAAAGGAACUCCCCUAACCCCCAAACUAAAAGUUAAAGAUGAAGAAGCAUCAUGUCUUAAAAUAGACAGUUUUGUGGUUUUCUCACUGCAGUCAAAAACAGGUAAGAAUCACUAUAGCAAUGCCCUCUUGAUAGCUGAUUGGUUUUUCAGACGCCAGUUUGGUAUUAGUUCACUGUUUAAAGAUUCAGAGUGAUCCUUUUGUUACAUAUUAUAUCCGCGUGUCUUCCCACCAAGAUGAAAAUAUUUAACCAUGCCGUACUCUGUG
ensembl:lincRNA